CCCUUAGAUGUUCUGGGCCGCACGCGCGCUACACUGAUGCAUUCAACAAGCCUAGCCUUGACCGAGACGUCCGGGUAAUCUUUGAAACUGCAUCGUGAUGGGGCUAGAUUAUUGCAAUUAUUAAUCUUCAACGAGGAAUGCCUAGUAAGCGUGAUUCAUCAAAUCGCGUUGAUUACGUCCCUGCCCUUUGUACACACCGCCCGUCGCUCCUACCGAUUGAAUGUGUUGGUGAGGAGCUCGGAUUGGCAGCAGUUGGUGGUUCGCCACCGGCUAUUGCUGAGAAGUCCUCCAAACCGCCCCAUUUAGAGGAAGGAGAAGUCGUAACA
rnacentral:rRNA from 1 species